UAUAAAAUUGUUUACAACCCAGCAGCUCCAGUAUUUAACUGUGGAGAAUGGAGGAAAAUGGUGAAGCUGCAUUUGGCCUGUUGGGAAAGCAUUCACGAGGAAGAGGACAAUUGCUACAAGAUUAAGAUUAACCUUUGUAUCCACUUUCAACUUUCUUUUGAAAACAAAUAUGGUUUCAAUGUUUAUCUUUGCAGGUCCUUUGAAAUAUACCCGAGCGCAAAGGAAGCGAUGCACUCAAGAGCAAGGAGAUUGUCUUUCACGAUUCUGAGCUAAAUGCGGCAGUUUGUUCACAUGAAUAGCAUUUUGGAUCGCCUAGGGUAUGUUUUAAACCCUGAAGGGAUGGAGUUCUAGAGAGGUGUUGGAGAAAAAAGAUGACAGGAAAGUUCUAGACAAAGAGGCAGAGCACCACUGUGGCCAUCUAAAGGAUAUUUGAUAUUGAUGGUGAAGUCUAAAGGAACUACAGCCACAGUAGGCAAGAGGAAGCAUCACAGGGUUUGAAUAAAGGAUAUUUGAUACAUGUUCAAGUCUCAAAAAGUAAGAUUUAUUAAAUUUCCUGUGCAUCACAGUGUUUGAAUAUUGUUUUUACACGGAAGCAUUACA